GUUUUGCUGUUUUUAUUCUUACAAAACAUUUUGUAAGAGUUCCAAUACUUAUGGAUCAUCCACACACUUUGCGAACAUUUGGCAUGCAGACAAGACAGAGGUAGUCAAUGUUCCCUUUGAGAAAAAACACCUUUUAAAUGACGUCUUCAAUUUACUUUAUUUGAAACUCUGAUCUGAAAAUAUUUGUCAACAAGACUUGUUAGUAGUGAGAAGUACAAACCAAGUUUCCUUUCAUAACUUAAUUUCUUAAAUGUCCCAAUCACUGGAUCUCUCAAAAAAUACUACAUCUUUUUAUUUUUUUGUGCAAAAUACAAGUUCUUCUUUAUAUAAAAAUGAAAAGUGCAAGUCACACUUCAGUAAUAGCAGCUCUAAAGUUUACUUGUUGUUCUUCUCUGUCUGUCAGCUAUCAACAAAAUUGUUUUAUACUUCGGACAGUGCAUAACUAUUUGUGGACCAGAGUUCCAAUGCACCUCUGUAAUCGCAUAUAGUUACUUCUGUCUCUUGUACAAAUGUUUCUCCUUUGUAAGACACACUCUACUCUGUUGUCACCACUGCUUUAAGUUCAGUGGAAACAACUGACUGAGGAAUCAAGAUGGUGGUGUUUGAACAUGUUGCUGAAUGCUUGCUAUGGUCAAGCUUUGUAGAUUUAGUUACUGGUACACUGGGGUCGUCUAUGUAUCUCUUAUACUUCCUAAUGUGGUAUCCUUCUUUUAUAAAUAUGAGGGUAAAAGACGAUUUGUAGUCGCAUUCAAAACUGUGAUUGGCUUGUGUUAUUCCUCACCUUUGCCAUGAACACAACUCCAGUGAGUUUCGAGUCUUUGUUUCCUCGACAACUUUCGGCCACAAAUCAUGCAUUUGUAGUACAAUCAAUUCUUAUUGAUUAUUUCUACAUAGAGUGAGCUCACAUCAUUAUUUAUGUCACCAAGGUAUCCAUCGUCUAGAAGGAGAGAACUGGUUAGAGAAGACAGAAUAAAGUUGUGCGCUUCUCUUAACACUGCAAUCGGCAAGCCAGCGGAUUCACUUUGCUAGCCAAUGACAAGUCUUAAAAGAUCCACGUGAUCAUGCCCGUGAUCGGAAACAAAGGAGACUCCAUUUGGCGCUCAUCUUUGAAUGUACUUUUCAUCGGUUGAUUGCUCAUGCAUUAAGUUAUUUCUUUUCUCAACUGUUUUGCUUAAUAUAACAUUUCUAAAGAUAGCUUUUAUUGUGGUUCAAUGGGAAAACGAGAACAGCGUGAGUGUUGUAAAAUAAAAGAAAGUCGUUGGCACCGUGGAGUUAAAAGAAGGGACAACAGUUGACAUAUCGACUGGUACAAACAAGGGUCGAGUGGCCAUCUGUAAAGCUACAAUUUUGAAAGUUUGUGAUGUCAUGGAAUCCAGAUACAAAAUGGUCAAACUUUUUGUAUACAACCUCAUUCAAGGCCAACUCAUUGUGAGCCCAGGGAAAAAAUACAAACAGCAGCUAAGUUUGCAGUUUAGGAUAACUUCAUUCUAAUUUAUUGUUACAGUUACAACAAGAUUUUAAUUAAAAAAUUAAUUUUAUUUA